rnacentral:rRNA from 1 species
GGGGGGCGUGUAUAUUGGGCUUAAGCGCUCGUAGCCGGUCAAGCAAGUCUCUGGUGAAAGCCCGAUGCUUAACGUCGGGAAGUGCUGGAGAUACUACAUAGCUAGGGAGCGGGAGAGGUAGACGGUAUUCGGUGGGUAGGGGUAAAAUCCUCUGAUCCAUUGAGGACCACCAGUGGCGAAGGCGGUCUGCCAGAACGCGUUCGACGGUGAGGGAUGAAAGCUGGGGGAGCAAACCGGAUUAGAUACCCGGGUAGUCCCAGCUGUAAACGAUGCAGACUCGGUGAUGCACUGGCUUUUGGCCAGUGCAGUGCCGCAGGGAAGCCGUUAAGUUUGCCGCCUGGGAAGUACGUACGCAAGUAUGAAACUUAAAGGAAUUGGCGGGGGAGCAC